rnacentral:rRNA from 1 species
GUCACCACGGUAGGAUUCAUGACUGGGGUGAAGUCGUAACAAGGUAGCCGUAUCGGAAGGUGCGGCUGGAUCACCUCCUUU